UACAGAGGGUGCAAGCGUUGUUCGGAAUUAUUGGGCGUAAAGGGCGUGUAGGCGGUCUGCUAAGUCAUGUGUGAAAUCCCUCGGCUUAACCGAGGAACGACGCAUGAAACUGGCAAGCUAGAGUACCAAAGAGGGGGGUGGAAUUCCCGGUGUAGCGGUGAAAUGCGCAGAUAUCAGGAGGAACACCGGUGGCGAAGGCGGGUCUCUGGGCAACAACUGACGCUGAGGAGCGAAAGCGUGGGGAGCGAACAGG
rnacentral:rRNA from 1 species